rnacentral:rRNA from 1 species
AUUGAACGCUGGCGGCAGGCUUAACACAUGCAAGUCGAGCGAGCGGCGGACGGGUGCGUAAUGUCUGGGAACCUGCCUGAUGGAGGGGGAUAACUACUGGAAACGGUAGCUAAUACCGCAUACCAUCAGAUGUACCCAGAUGGGAUUCGCUGGUAGGUGGGGUAAUGGCUAACCUAGGCGACGAUCCCUAGCUGGUCUGAGAGGAUGACCAGCAACACUGGAACUGAGACCGGGCCCAGACUCCUACGGGAGGCAGCAGUGGGGAAUAUUGCACAAUGGGCGCAAGCCUGAUGCAGCCAUGCGGCGUGUGUGAAGAAGGCCUUCGGGUGGUAAAGCACUUUCAGCGAGGAGGCGUUACCCGCAGAAGAAGCACCGGCUAACUCCGUGCCAGCAGCCGCGGUAAUAC